rnacentral:rRNA from 1 species
UACGUAGGAAGCAAGCGUUGUCCGGAAUUACUGGGCGUAAAGAGCUCGUAGGUGGUUUGUCGCGUUGUUCGUGAAAACCGGGGGCUUAACCCUCGGCGUGCGGGCGAUACGGGCAGACUUGAGUACUGCAGGGGAGACUGGAAUUCCUGGUGUAGCGGUGGAAUGCGCAGAUAUCAGGAGGAACACCGGUGGCGAAGGCGGGUCUCUGGGCAGUAACUGACGCUGAGGAGCGAAAGCGUGGGGAGCGAACAGG